rnacentral:rRNA from 1 species
GAUGAACGCUGGCGGCGUGCCUAAUACAUGCAAGUCGAGCGAACAGACGAGGAGCUUGCUCCUCUGACGUUAGCGGCGGACGGGUGAGUAACACGUGGAUAACCUACCUAUAAGACUGGGAUAACUUCGGGAAACCGGAGCUAAUAUCGGAUAAUAUAUUGAACCGCAUGGUUCAAUAGUGAAAGACGGUUUUGCUGUCGCUUAUAGAUGGAUCCGCGCCGCAUUAGCUAGUUGGUAAGGUAACGGCUUACCAAGGCAACGAUGCGUAGCCGACCUGAGAGGGUGAUCGGCCACACUGGAACUGAGACACGGUCCAGACUCCUACGGGAGGCAGCAGUAGGGAAUCUUCCGCAAUGGGCGAAAGCUUGACGGAGCAACGCCGCGUGAGUGAUGAAGGUCUUCGGAUCGUAAAACUCUGUUAUUAGGGAAGAACAAAUGUGUAAGUAACUAUGCACGUCUUGACGGUACCUAAUCAGAAAGCCACGGCUAACUACGUG